GACGAACGCUGGCGGCGUGCUUAGCACAUGCAAGUCGAACGGUGAAGGGACCGGUUUUUGCUGGUUCUGGAUGAGUGGCGAACGGGUGAGUAACACGUGAGUAACCUGCCCCCUUCUUCUGGAUAACCGCAUGAAAGUGUGGCUAAUACGGGAUAUUCUGCGCCUGCUGCAUGGUGGGUGUGGGAAAGAUAUUGUUUCGGUGGGGGAUGGGCUCGCGGCCUAUCAGCUUGUUGGUGGGGUGAUGGCCUACCAAGGCGGUGACGGGUAGCCGGCCUGAGAGGGUGGACGGUCACACUGGGACUGAGACACGGCCCAGACUCCUACGGGAGGCAGCAGUGGGGAAUAUUGCACAAUGGGCGCAAGCCUGAUGCAGCGACGCCGCGUGAGGGAUGGAGGCCUUCGGGUUGUAAACCUCUUUCGCCAGUGAAGCAGGCCUGUCCCUUUUGUGGGUGGGUUGACGGUAGCUGGAUAAGAAGCGCCGGCUAACUACGUG
rnacentral:rRNA from 1 species